UAAGGAGUUAUUGUAGAAACCUCUUAUCCUUUGUCGGCACAAUUCUUUAGCCCUCAAAUUGCGAUGUGAGCCACCGCCUCCCAGACCAUCCUCUCUCUUUCACCACCGUUCUUUUGCCAUACCUCUUUUGUGUAUAUGGAAUACAUGAGCUACACAUAUAAUCGACAAACCUUUGCACACAAUACCCAAUGAGCCUCAAAACAUCAAAUUUGACAACGGAGAAAUUGAGUUGAAGAAUAUAAGACUCCUAUUGUAUAUGCGACUCUCCUCGACGUGAUGGUUGAUAUUGGUGUAGACAUGCCAUUGACAUUAUUGCAACUUCGUUCCACCUCUAAGCGGUGAAUAUCGUUCCCAGAGAAGUGAAAGAAGGAAAAGAAGUGAAGAACGAUGAGAAGAUUUAAGAAUACUGGCCCUUGCUUGUAGGUGUCUUGUAAUCUCUGGCCAUUUAGGAUUGCAAGUGAAUGUAAUGAACAAACUCGAGUAGCCAAUGUUUUGACAAACUGCCAUUGCGUCCCUGUAUUUUUCUUGCAUAUAUUGUGGAUCUCCCACAAAAGUUGAUGCUUUGAUCAUUGUAAAUCCAUCAACCAAAAACUGCUGAAAGAGUUUCCCAGAAUGCAGAAGAGGAUUAAACUGCCCAUGACCUCAAUGAUUUUAUAAGCAAAAAACUCUCGCAUGCUUAGUCGAAACCGUGGGUUUCUCGAUGUUGUGGUCGUCUUCUUAAGAUACAGAUCAAUAUGGUAACCGUCUUCUCCAAUGGAAAUAAAAGAGGAUAUUGUAAAGGAAGGAGGAGUGCCUUCAUUAGGUAGCAAGCUGCCUAUUUGAUGGAAGUUUUGACCAUGGAGUCGAAAGAUAUAUGGUUCACGUCCGUUGUUAACUGAAGCAUCAAUUUGUCCACCCAUGGAAGUGAAAGCGAACAUGGAAUUAUAUGGCCUAAUGUUCUCUUUGAAGUUUAUGCUUACACUGUCAAUCCCAAAUAUCAGUCUGAAGAGGAUUGGAGGUAACAUAGGAGGGGGGGGGGAGUUCAACUUUUCCGUGCAUACAACACAUUGAAAACUGUGGAGGACUCUGGCUAUUCAUUUUCUGAGCUUCGUCAGGAUGAGUUACUUAUAGAUGAAUCGGAUCAUUCUCUGCAAAAGGUAUACAUUUUUUCUAAAAAACUGAAGAAGAUUAUUAUGAAAAAUCUUUUGAGCAUAAAAAAAUUACCAUCACAAUAUACUUUCUUUUCCUUCCUAGUGUUUGACAGCUCUUUCCCUUUCCUUUUGUUACAAUUCUCGCUAUUCAUUAUUGUAGUAUGGUGGGAUGAGUUAGAUAGAAAUAAAUGAGUAGGAUCAUUCUAUAGAAAAGAAAGACAUUUGUAUGUUCCUACAAAAGAAGAUAUGGAAUCUAUUAUGAAGGACUGAAAGAGAAUUCUACUUUUCUUACUAUGAAGACAGAAUAUCGAAA